rnacentral:rRNA from 1 species
CCCUUAGAUGUCCUGGGCCGCACGCGUGCUACACUGACACUUACACCGAGUUUUUCCAAUGCCGAAAGGCCAUUGGUAAUCAGCAAUAAGUGUCGUGAUGGGGAUAGAUCUUUGGAAUUAUUGAUCUUGAACGAGGAAUGCCUAGUAAUCGUAGGUCAUCAGCCUGCGAUGAUUACGUCCCUGCCCUUUGUACACACCGCCCGUCGCUACUACCGAUUGAACGUUUUAGUGAGGUAUUUGGACUGGACCUUCGGAGGUUCGCGCCUCCGUUGCUGUUCGGGAAGACUCCCAAACUUGAGCGUUUAGAGGAAGUAAAAGUCGUAACA